rnacentral:rRNA from 1 species
CCUACGGGAGGCAGCAGUGGGGAAUCUUGCGCAAUGGCCGAGAGGCUGACGCAGCGACGCCGCGUGGGGGAUGAAGCAUUUCGGUGUGUAAACCCCUGUUGCUCGGGACGAACGAUCCUUUUCGAGGGAUGUGACGGUACCGAGUGAGGAAGCACCGGCUAACUCCGUGCCAGCAGCCGCGGUAAUACGGAGGGUGCGAGCGUUGUCCGGAAUCACUGGGCGUAAAGGGCGCGUAGGUGGUUGGAUGCGCCGGUGGUGAAAGCGCAGGGCUCAACCCUGCGUCGGCCAUCGGGACGGUCCGACUGGAGCACUGUAGAGGCAGGUGGAAUUCCGGGUGUAGCGGUGGAAUGCGUAGAGAUCCGGAAGAACACCGGUGGCGAAGGCGGCCUGCUGGGCAGUUGCUGACACUGAGGCGCGACAGCGUGGGGAGCAAACAGGAUUAGAUACCCUGGUAGUCCACGCCGUAAACGAUGGGCACUAGGUGCUUGGGGGAGCGACCCCCUGAGUGCCGACGCUAACGCAUUAAGUGCCCCGCCUGGGGAGUACGACCGCAAGGUUGAAACUCAAAGGAAUUGACGG